CCAGUCUGCAUGGAGCCGACCUUGAAAUACCACCCUUUAAUGUUUGAUGUUCUAACGUGGACCCGUAAUCCGGGUUGCGGACAGUGUCUGGUGGGUAGUUUGACUGGGGCGGUCUCCUCCUAAAGAGUAACGGAGGAGCACGAAGGUUGGCUAAUCCUGGUCGGACAUCAGGAGGUUAGUGCAAUGGCAUAAGCCAGCUUGACUGCGAGCGUGACGGCGCGAGCAGGUGCGAAAGCAGGUCAUAGUGAUCCGGUGGUUCUGAAUGGAAGGGCCAUCGCUCAACGGAUAAAAGGUACUCCGGGGAUAACAGGCUGAUACCGCCCAAGAGUUCAUAUCGACGGCGGUGUUUGGCACCUCGAUGUCGGCUCAUCACAUCCUGGGGCUGAAGUAGGUCCCAAGGGUAUGGCUGUUCGCCAUUUAAAGUGGUACGCGAGCUGGGUUUAGAACGUCGUGAGACAGUUCGGUCCCUAUCUGCCGUGGGCGCUGGAGAACUGAGGGGGGCUGCUCCUAGUACGAGAGGACCGGAGUGGACGCAUCACUGGUGUUCGGGUUGUCAUGCCAAUGGCACUGCCCGGUAGCUAAAUGCGGAAGAGAUAAGUGCUGAAAGCAUCUAAGCACGAAACUUGCCCCGAGAUGAGUUCUCCCUGAGACUUUAGGUCUCCUGAAGGAACGUUGAAGACGA
rnacentral:rRNA from 1 species